rnacentral:rRNA from 1 species
AGUGAACGCUGGCGGUAGGCCUAACACAUGCAAGUCGAACGGCAGCACAGUAAGAGCUUGCUCUUACGGGUGGCGAGUGGCGGACGGGUGAGGAAUACAUCGGAAUCUACUUUUUCGUGGGGGAUAACGUAGGGAAACUUACGCUAAUACCGCAUACGACCUACGGGUGAAAGCAGUGGAUCUUCGGACCUUGCGCGAUUGUAUUAGCCGAUGUCGGAUUAGCUAGUUGGCGGGGUAAAGGCCCACCAAGGCGACGAUCCGUAGCUGGUCUGAGAGGAUGAUCAGCGACACUGGAACUGAGACACGGUCCAGAAUCCUACGGGAGGCAGCAGUGGGGAAUAUUGGACAAUGGGCGCAAGCCUGAUCCAGCAAUACCGCGUGGGUGAAGAAGGCCUUCGGGUUGUAAAGCCCUUUUGUUGGGAAAGAAAAGCAGCAGGUUAAUACCCCGCUGUUCUGACGGUACCCAAAGAAUAAGCACCGGCUAACUUCGUG